UGAGGAAUAUUGCGCAAUGGGGGCAACCCUGACGCAGCAACGCCGCGUGAGUGAGGAAGGUUUUCGGAUUGUAAAGCUCUGUCGAGCGGAAAGAAAUGCAUGAUGGCUAAUAUCCAUCAUGCUUGACGGUACCGCUAAAGGAAGCACCGGCUAACUCCGUGCCAGCAGCCGCGGUAAUACGGGGGGUGCAAGCGUUGUUCGGAAUUAUUGGGCGUAAAGAGCGUGUAGGCGGCUAGACAAGUCAGAUGUGAAAUCCCUGGGCUUAACCCAGGAAGUGCAUUUGAAACUGUCCUGCUAGAGUAAGGGAGAGGAAAGUGGAAUUCCUGGUGUAGAGGUGAAAUUCGUAGAUAUCAGGAGGAACACCGGUGGCGAAGGCGACUUUCUGGCCCUAUACUGACGCUGAGACGCGAAAGCGUGGGUAGCAAACAGG
rnacentral:rRNA from 1 species